rnacentral:rRNA from 1 species
AGUGAACGCUGGCGGUAGGCCUAACACAUGCAAGUCGAACGGCAGCACAGUAAAAGCUUGCUCUUACGGGUGGCGAGUGGCGGACGGGUGAGGAAUACAUCGGAAUCUACUUUUUCGUGGGGGAUAACGUAGGGAAACUUACGCUAAUACCGCCUACGACCUACGGGUGAAAGCAGGGGAUCUUCGGACCUUGCGCGAUUGAAUGAGCCGAUGUCGGAUUAGCUAGUUGGCGGGGUAAAGGCCCACCAAGGCGACGAUCCGUAGCUGGUCUGAGAGGAUGAUCAGCCACACUGGAACUGAGACACGGUCCAGACUCCUACGGGAGGCAGCAGUGGGGAAUAUUGGACAAUGGGCGCAAGCCUGAUCCAGCCAUACCGCGUGGGUGAAGAAGGCCUUCGGGUUGUAAAGCCCUUUUGUUGGGAGAGAAAAGCAGCAGGUUAAUACCCCGCUGUUCUGACGGUACCCAAAGAAUAAGCACCGGCUAACUUCGUG